GCAGCUGAGAGCUGUGUGCUCCGAGUUUGGCAACUCCACCCACGGUCGGACGCGUCCGUGGGAUUUGCUGGGGUGGUGACCUGGGCACCGGGGGCGCCUUAAAUAACUAAAGCUAGGUGUUGGAUCCUACUCGCGGUUGAUAACCUGCAUGAGAGUGGGGGCAAGUUGCUUCGUUAGUUGCUUCGUUAGUUAGAGUAUGACUGCUUGGCUCAGCCCGCUGACUGCAGCGUGUGUAGACUGCGUAGUGUGUAUGAAAGCGCCGUUAGAGUCGGCGUCUCGUUUGAAGUACGGGAGUCAAUUAAAGUAACAAAAAGAAUUCGAGUCUAAAAGUGUGUGUUUGGGGAAAUGUGUGAGUGUGUGUGAACUAAGAGAUUUGAGUUUAAGAUUGUGUUUUUGUGCUGUAUGUGGACGGGAGGCCGUGCCACUGAUUGUUGUGUAUUCUGAGUUUAUUGGGGAUUGAAUUUGACUGUGUUUUGAGACAAAAGAGAAAUCGCGGUUAAAGGCUGCGAUCUGAAGAUCGUGAGUUUAUAAUUUUGUUUUUGUUGAGUUCUAAAAAGACCAUAUCCACUCUUUGUGCUGAUCAGGGUGUUGUCCUGAAUCACAGCAGAGAAGGUGUCUUGCAGAAAGUUUGAAUGGGACUGCGAGAAGCAUGAGGUGUGUGUGAGCCAGCCUCGAGGGGCGGGUUCACAGGUGGAACAAAGGAGGAGUAAAGUGUGUGUGUGUGUAUGAGAGAGAAAGAAAGGUGGGGGCGAGUGACCAGGCUCUGAGUGUGUGUGAAUUCCUUGAUGACAAAAGAGGGAGAAAAAAAGUACAUUAGUUGAUUGUCUGUGAAAUAAUAAGAGUUAAAAAAUAAACAAAGAAAAACUAAACAGUGGAUUAGUGUUAAGUUAAUGAUAAAUAAAUUGAUCAAAUUAAUAGUGACAUUUAAAGCUGACCAAGUACCCAAGGAUGGAUGGAGAAUUUGAUUGCUGACUGUAUGAGAGCUGUUGGGGUGAAAGGAAAAUGAGCUUGGAGGAGUGAGUUUACAGGUUAAUGUGUGGGUGU